GUCUACGGCCAUACCACCCUGAACGCGCCCGAUCUCGUCUGAUCUCGGAAGCUAAGCAGGGUCGGGCCUGGUUAGUACUUGGAAGGGAGAAACACCCACAGUGUAGGCU
rnacentral:rRNA from 1 species